rnacentral:sRNA from 1 species
GGAAGAGACGUGAGGACCUGAGCUAUUUUUUUAGUGCAUAGUAUGAAUUCCAACUCUUGUGAACUUUCCUUUAAUUACUUCUGAUGGAAACAAGACUCAACAAAAUGCAACUCAAUUAAGCAGUGGUAAAUGAAGAUAAGCAAAGAAAAAAAAUUCCCGUAAGAUACGUGCCGUUAAUAUUCGGGAGCUCAUUGUUUCAAGCCUCUUUCUCUCUGUUAUUCGGGAGUCCUUUGGAUGUAAGCAGCAGCAGGUAAAGAAAACAGUUUGGAUAA